AGAAAAAGCCCUAGUCCCCCAUUCUCUCCCAAUCGUUUACCUCUCAUUCUCACGACACCAAGCCUCGUUCAAACAGAGAGAGAGAGAGAGAGAGAGAGAGAGAGAGAGAGCCGGGGGGGAAGGAGGAGCUCGACAGGCUCUAAUGGACCACCAACAGUGGCCACCUCGACAGGUUUCGGCGCCGUACAGCUCUCACGGCUAACCACCCACGUACAUGACUUCAACCUCCAUUGCUGCCCAUUACCUUCACCAGGCUUACUUGCAUUGACCUUGGUAUUUUGCAAGAAGUGUGUACGGGGUCAAUCCAGGGAAAGUACAAUAAAGUCAGGAAACAGCUUGGUCAAUGAAGGAUUUGAUUUUUCAUUAAUUUGACACAAAUUUGAUGAUGCAUUAGACCGAAUACAAGUUUGAAGUAGGGUUUCAGUGCUAUGGUUGAUGAUAUUGUGUUUUGGGCGAGUUCUAGACAAGCAUUUUACUGUUUCUGUUUGUAUCUCGUUUGUCAAUAUCAAAAAACUGAGAUGAAUAUGUAGAAAAUAACAUUUUUGUAAAUAAAUUUUGUAAUGUAUGUGUUGUGUUGGUUUGGGUACGUAUUCGAUGAAGGAUUUGGUUUUCCAUU